UGACCUCGGAUCAGGUAGGGAUACCCGCUGAACUUAAGCAUAUCAAUAAGCGGAGGAAAAG
rnacentral:rRNA from 3 species